rnacentral:rRNA from 1 species
AGUCUCAGAGUAACUGGAUUGAGAAGAGGUCUGCGUACGGCUCAUUACAUCAUCAAUGAUCUACCCAGCAACGGUCCUGUUUCAGGUCCCAAUUGGAUAACUUCGGUAACUCUGAAGCUAAUACACGUAUGAAGAAGCUUGCCCCCGUUCAAGCCCCAAGGGGAAACCCGAGGGGUGGGGGUGGGUUGCAGUUGACCGGUACGAGAACCAACGGUUUUCAAAGACCAGCACAUUAACUGUUGAGGCAGGUCAAUAUUGCUAAAGCGCACAUCCUUGCGAUGGCGCGACGCUGGACGAAUUUAUGCCCUAUCAGCUACGAUGGUUGGGCAGUGGCCAACCAUGGCUUUGACGGGUAACGGGGAAUUGGGGUUCGAUUCCGGAGAGGGUGCCUGAGAGAUGGCAACCAUACCUAAGGGAAGCAGCAGGCGCGCAAAUUACCCAAUGCCAACACUGGUGAGGUAGCGACGAAAAAUAACAACUCUGCUGCACACACGUGUAGUGGAGAUUGUAAUGGAUUGUAUCCAAACCCACUGCUGAGUAUCAAUUGGAGGGCAAGCCCGGUGCCAGCAGCCGCGGUAAUUCCGGCUCCAAUAGCGUAUAUUAAUGUUGUUGCGGUUAAAAAGCUCGUAGUUGGAUUCAGGGCUUGUGGUUGUGGCGAGCCGUGCUGUUCGAUCGGACUCUGUUCGGUCGGCGGUGUGGGUUCAACUCGUCACAUCAGACCAUGACCCUUUGUACGUGGUAACGGUCAGUUGAUGAAGGUCUCUUCGUUGAGAUUGGAUUCGCCCUCGCUGUCAAGACACAGCUUACACUGCGACCGCGGAUGUUACUGUGAGUAAAACAGAAUGCUUCAGGUAACCGACUUGUUCGGUCUGAAUGAUUCAGCAUGGAAUAACAAGGGAUCGACCACUUUUGGCUUCUUUUGUUGGUUUUCACGCCAUAGUGCGGCAACUCGGUUCAGGAUUCUGGCUGGGUACGUGCGGUGUGUCUCCGGAUGUGCCGUACGCCUGGUCAGGCCCUGUUUCCAUCGGGAUCAACAGAGGUAGUUGGGGUGAUCCGUACUUCGUGGUGAGAGGUGAAAUUCUUAGACCCACGAAAGACGAACAUCAGCGAAGGCAGUUCACCAAUCUGCUUUCAUUAAUCAAGAACGAGAGUAAGGGGAUCGAAGAUGAUCAGAUACCGUCGUAGUCCUUUACCGUAAAUUAUGCGAACUUGGGAUUGGUCACUGCUCUCUUAGUGACUUGAUCAGCACCUCCACCUGGAUCGAGAAAUCAAAGUUUUUGCGUUCCGGGGGGAGUACAUUCGCAAGGCUGAAACUUAAAGGAAUUGACGGAAUGACACCACCAGACGUGGAGUGUGUGGCUUAAUUUGACUCAACACGGGGAAUUUUACCAGGUCAGGACAUGGCAAGGAUUGCCAGAUUGAGAGCUCUUGCAUGAUUCCAUGGAGGGUGGUGCAUGGCCGUUCUUGGUUGGUGGAGUGAUUUGUCUGCUUAAUUGCGUUAACGAACGAGAUCUCUGCCAAUAAAUAGAUGCUCCUUCCGUUCUGUAAGCUGUCAAGGUCUCCCCGGGCUUUCGGGCUUUGUGGAUCCUUGGGCUGAGGAGGGAGAGGUUUACUUAUUGGGAUUAUGCAUUUUUCCAAAUGCAUUGAGACAAGAGCCAAUAGCAGGUCUGUGAUGCUCCUUAAAUGUUCUGGGCCGCACGCGCACUACACUGAUACAGACAACGAGUAACGCUUCUGCGUCCUGGAUCGAAGGGUUCGGGAAAUCUUUGAAGCCUGUAUCGUGAUGGGGAUAGAUGAUUGCAAUUAUUCGCCUUGAACGAGGAAUGUCUAGUAGGCACGUUUCAUCAGAACGUACCGAUUAUGUCCCUGUCAUUUGUACACACCGCCCGUCGUUGCUACCGAUUGGUUUAUGCGUAGAAGCAUUUGGAGCGGCGUCAUGUUGGUCUCGGCCAGCGUGGUGCUGCAAAAUUUGCUGAUAUUUGUAAACUAGAGGAAGCAAAAGUCGUAACAAGGUUACUGUAGGUGAACCUGCAGAAGGAUC